GAACGAACGCUGGCGGCAGGCCUAACACAUGCAAGUCGAACGCCCCGCAAGGGGAGUGGCAGACGGGUGAGUAACGCGUGGGAAUCUACCCAGUGGUACGGAACAACCAAGGGAAACUUUGGCUAAUACCGUAUAAGUCCUUCGGGAGAAAGAUUUAUCGCCAUUGGAUGAGCCCGCGUCGGAUUAGCUAGUUGGUAAGGUAAUGGCUUACCAAGGCUACGAUCCGUAGCUGGUCUGAGAGGAUGAUCAGCCACAUUGGGACUGAGACACGGCCCAAACUCCUACGGGAGGCAGCAGUGGGGAAUAUUGGACAAUGGGCGCAAGCCUGAUCCAGCCAUGCCGCGUGAGUGAUGACGGCCCUAGGGUUGUAAAGCUCUUUCGGCGGGGAAGAUAAUGACUGUACCCGCAGAAGAAGCCCCGGCUAACUUCGUGCCAGCAGCCGCGGUAAUACGAAGGGGGCUAGCGUUGUUCGGAAUCACUGGGCGUAAAGCGUAUGUAGGCGGAUUGUUAAGUCAGGGGUGAAAUCCCGAGGCUCAACCUCGGAACUGCCUUUGAUACUGGCUUUCUUGAGUUCGGGAGAGGUGAGUGGAACUCCUAGUGUAGAGGUGAAAUUCGUAGAUAUUAGGAAGAACACCAGUGGCGAAGGCGGCUCACUGGCCCGAUACUGACGCUGAUGUACGAAAGCGUGGGGAGCAAACAGGACUAGAUACCCUGGUAGUCCACGCCGUAAACGAUGGGUGCUAGCCGUCGG
rnacentral:rRNA from 1 species